UACAACAUUGCGUACACCUACUUCUUUAGGUUAGAUAGCAUGGAGCAAGGGAUCCUGUCACCCAUACAACAUUGCGUACACCUACUUCUUUAGGUUAGAUAGCAUGGAGCAAGGGAUCCUGUCACCCAUACAACAUUGCGUACACCUACUUCUUUAGGUUAGAUAGCAUGGAGCAAGGGAUCCUGUCACCCAUACAACAUUGCGUACACCUACUUCUUUUGGUUAGAUAGCAUGGAGCAAGGGAUCCUGUCACCCAUACAACAUUGCGUACACCUACUUCUUUUGGUUAGAUAGCAUGGAGCAAGGGAUCCUGUCACCCAUACAACAUUGCGUACACCUACUUCUUUAGGUUAGAUAGGUAUGUAUUCAACUGCAGUGUGCAGCCAUACUAUAGCAUGGAGCAAGGGGUCCUGUCACCCAUACAACAUUGCGUACACCUACUUCUUUAGGUUAGAUAGCAUGGAGCAAGGGGUCCUGUCACCCAUACAACAUUGCGUACACCUACUUCUUUAGGUUAGAUAGCAUGGAGCAAGGGGUCCUGUCACCCAUACAACAUUGCGUACACCUACUUCUUUAGGUUAGAUAGCAUGGAGCAAGGGGUCCUGUCACCCAUACAACAUUGCGUACACCUACUUCUUUAGGUUAGAUAGCAUGGAGCAAGGGGUCCUGUCACCCAUACAACAUUGCGUACACCUACUUCUUUUGGUUAGAUAGCAUGGAGCAAGGGAUCCUGUCACCCAUACAACAUUGCGUACACCUACUUCUUUUGGUUAGAUAGCAUGGAGCAAGGGAUCCUGUCACCCAUACAACAUUGCGUACACCUACUUCUUUAGGUUAGAUAGGUAUGUAUUCAACUGCAGUGUGCAGCCAUACUAUAGCAUGGAGCAAGGGGUCCUGUCACCCAUACAACAUUGCGUACACCUACUUCUUUAGGUUAGAUAGCAUGGAGCAAGGGGUCCUGUCACCCAUACAACAUUGCGUACACCUACUUCUUUAGGUUAGAUAGCAUGGAGCAAGGGGUCCUGUCACCCAUACAACAUUGCGUACACCUACUUCUUUAGGUUAGAUAGCAUGGAGCAAGGGAUCCUGUCACCCAUACAACAUUGCGUACACCUACUUCUUUAGGUUAGAUAGCAUGGAGCAAGGGAUACUGUCACCCAUACAACAUUGCGUACACCUACUUCUUUUGGUUAGAUAGCAUGGAGCAAGGGAUCCUGUCACCCAUACAACAUUGCGUACACCUACUUCUUUUGGUUAGAUAGCAUGGAGCAAGGGAUCCUGUCACCCAUACAACAUUGCGUACACCUACUUCUUUAGGUUAGAUAGCAUGGAGCAAGGGAUCCUGUCACCCAUACAACAUUGCGUACACCUACGUCUUUAGGUUAGAUAGCAUGGAGCAAGGGAUACUGUCACCCAUACAACAUUGCGUACACCUACUUCUUUAGGUUAGAUAGCAUGGAGCAAGGGGUCCUGUCACCCAUACAACAUUGCGUACACCUACUUCUUUAGGUUAGAUAGCAUGGAGCAAGGGGUCCUGUCACCCAUACAACAUUGCGUACACCUACUUCUUUUGGUUAGAUAGGUAUGAAUUCAACUGCAGUGUGCAGCCAUACCAUAGCAUGGAGCAAGGGAUCCUGUUGCUCCAUGUUCUUUUCACUGUUUGAACCCCCAGUCAGUUUA
rnacentral:lncRNA from 1 species